UUCAGAGAUCCUUGGUACUUAAGAUUUCAUGAAACAAUAUUUAUUUUUAACACUAUGACUGAAGGAACUGUUUUAAUCUUACUGAUGCUAACUGCGAUGCACUCAUGAAAUCUUAUUCUAACUCAUGAAGUACAUACGUACAAAAAGUAAAACAAACAAUAAAUGAAAGAAAAAUGUAAAACUCAAAGAACAUGCAGAAGUGAGAUUUUAUAUUUAAAAAAUGAAUAAUACAGUUUAAAAAAGCCUAUCUGGUUUUAAUAUAUGAUAUGCCAACGAUUCGGUCAUUCUCAUAACAAGAUGAAUGAAUUCAUAUAUGGUUGAGAGAAAGGGGAGGUUUGGGAAUAAACUCUUCCUGAUAUGGAUGUGAAUGAUCCUUUUUUCUGCUGAUCUAAUUUCCUCAGGGCUUGACAACCGGAGUAUAACUAUAGCUCACCCUUCAGGCCGACCUCAACUGGUUACUUUUAUAAACUAAGUAAUACACUGUGAUCAACCAAGUCAAAGGCCUAGGAGAAGUCAACAUGAAAUUUUGAUUAACAACACUGGAGAGGAUCUCUAGUUGUCAGAAGACAAUAUGCACAGUAGCAUAUGUAUUUUGCUUUAAAACCAACAUGCAAAAGAGAGUCCACACUGAGAAGCUGCUCUAUCAGCCCUAGACAACGCCAAGAGAAUCUCGAAAAUCAAUCCACUUAUCAUCAAAGAACUGGA